UAAUGAGCUUCUCUUAAAGAACACGCUCAUUAAUUAAUAUACUUUAGUUAAUAAAUAAUCCUUAAUGGACCCCCCCCAAUGAAUGGUUCGGUCCAGAAACUCCUCUAAGGCUCCCCCAUCAAUGAACUUAAUUAAUUAAAAUUAAUUAAUUCGUGUUGAUGAUUGUCACCGUAAUGAGCUUCUCCUAAAGAGCCAGCUCGUUAAUUAAUAUACUUUAAUUAAUAAAUAAGCAACCUCCCCACCCCGCAGGAAUGGUUCGGUCCAGAAAUCCCCUUAAGGCUGCCCGUUAAUGAACAGUGCUAAUUAAUUAAUUAAUUAAUUUCUGUUAAUGACCGCCAGCUUAUGGAGCUUCUGUUAAAGAACAUCCUCGUUAAUUUACAUAUUGUAAUUAAUAGAUUUCCUCCAUUAAUAACCCCCUAAUUAACAGCCCCAUUAAUCGUGUCUAAUUAGCUGUGUUAAUGACUUCCCCAUUAAUUACCCCUAAUUAAUGCUGUUAAUGACUCUCCCUAUUAAUACCCCCCCUCAUUAAUUACCUCCCUAAUUAAUUCCCUGUAAUUACGGCCCGGUGGGUCGAUGAGGGCGCUAAUUAACGCUAAUUAACGCUAAUUAAUUCUGUUAAUUGCAGUGGACUCCAUCUGCCUGCGCUGGGCGCCCCCGAAGCACAAACAGGCCAAGGUGGCCAAGAAGUGAAAUUCCCCUUUUGCCCAAUUUUGCCGUUUUUCACCCCAAAUUUGGGGAUUUUUUCCCUCCAGUUUUGGGGUUUUUCCUCCAAUUUUUGGGUUUUCCCCAAAUUUUUGGAGUUUUCCUCUCAAAUUUUUGGAUUUUCCCCGGAAAUUUUGGGUUUUCCCCGGAAAUUUUGGGGUUUUUCCCCUAAAUUUUUGGGGUUUUCCUCUCAAAUUUUGGGGUUUUCUGCCAAAUUUUUGGGGUUUCCCCCUCAGUUUUUGGAUUUUCCCCAAAUUUUGGGGAUUUUCCCUCCCAAAUUUUUGUGUUUUUCCCCCAAAUUUUUGUGUUUUUCCCCCAGAUUUUUGGCUUUUCCCCCCAAAUUUUGGGGUUCCCCAUUUUGGGGUCCCCCCGAUAUUUUGGGGGUCCCCAUUUCCCUCCCCCUCCCCAAUUUUGGGGUCUCCCCCACCCCAAAUAAAGCAGGAAAAGGACGGGGAGGGGUCUCGGAGUUUUUAUUUUUGGGGAAUUUUUUGGGGGGGAAUUUGGGGCUCAAUUUUGGGGUCCCACUCCCAUUUUUGGGGUCCCCACCCCAAUUUUGGCGUUUUC
rnacentral:lncRNA from 1 species